UAGGGAAUCUUCGGCAAUGGACGAAAGUCUGACUGAGCAACGCCGCGUGAGUGAAGAAGGUUUUCGGAUCGUAAAACUCUGUUGUUAGAGAAGAACAAGGACGUUAGUAACUGAACGUCCCCUGACGGUAUCUAACCAGAAAGCCACGGCUAACUACGUGCCAGCAGCCGCGGUAAUACGUAGGUGGCAAGCGUUGUCCGGAUUUAUUGGGCGUAAAGCGAGCGCAGGCGGUUUCUUAAGUCUGAUGUGAAAGCCCCCGGCUCAACCGGGGAGGGUCAUUGGAAACUGGGAGACUUGAGUGCAGAAGAGGAGAGUAGAAUUCCAUGUGUAGCGGUGAAAUGCGUAGAUAUAUGGAGGAACACCAGUGGCGAAGGCGGCUCUCUGGUCUGUAACUGACGCUGAGGCUCGAAAGCGUGGGGAGCAAACAGG
rnacentral:rRNA from 1 species